rnacentral:rRNA from 1 species
UACGUAGGGAGCAAGCGUUGUCCGGAAUCAUUGGGCGUAAAGCGCGCGUAGGUGGCUUCGUAAGUCCGCUGUGAAAGUCAAAGGCUCAACCUUUGAAAGCCGGUGGAUACUGCGGAGCUAGAGUCCGGAAGAGGCGAGUGGAAUUCCUGGUGUAGCGGUGGAAUGCGCAGAUAUCAGGAGGAACACCAAUAGCGAAGGCAGCUCGCUGGGACGGUACUGACACUGAGGCGCGAAAGCGUGGGGAGCGAACAGG